AAUAGCUACUCUCGAAGUUCGAACUCCGACAACAUGGCUCGCGCUUCGUUCGCGCGCCCAUUCAAGUUUUGUUGUUUGCACUUGCUUAGAAGGUGACAUUGCGGGGUUGGGCUUGAUGACAUUUGUUGCCCAGCUGCCGCGACGCAUUUGGAGCAAACGUGAGUGUCGUGCGAUUGCCCGUUCUCUAGCUGACACUUGUAAAAACAACCGGUUGCGCAUUUGAGCUGUUGCCGAUGUGAUCUCGAAAUUCGAAGGAGUGCGAAACGGUUGUCGCAGGUCUCGCAGUGAUCGCAGGAUAAUUUAUUCGUUCGUGCCUUCAACAAGUACUACUGCAGUUCCUAUGCGUUGCCCCGAUGUAAAACGAACGGCGGAAGCUUUCGCGCGCCAGAAAAUGCAUGCACUCACUAGCUGUAUCGGUGAAUGCCGUCCUUUGGUAUAUAUCUCGUGUGUAGGUCUUUGUUUCUUCAUCUCUAUGGGAUGACUACGCUAUGCGCCUCUUAUUUACCCAUGCAACACAUGGCUGCAUUCAAUUACCUUGUUCACUGCUUGCGCUGACCGCGGUAGGUGCGUCAGAGGCUUUCAUUUGUUGCAGUGAGAUAACGAAAGCGUAUUUCUUUCACUUACAGCUUCUUAGCCACUCUUUUGAGAGCCGUGGAGGUAAAUUGUGCAAUGUAUACGUUGUGAGCAAGCUGUUAAACAAACCCGCUUUACUGCUGCUGUCGCUUUUACGGGCAGCUUCAAAAUUAAACAUAAAUGAGUGUAUAAAUCAGCUCACCUUUCUAUAAACGUCCGUUCAUUUCGUUGUUCGUAGAUCAUGUGCGUACCUUUGCAACCGUAAUCGACAUUCUAAAAACAAUAGGAAGGCAGAUGACACAAAUACUGUGUCUGCCUCAAUUGCUGUCUGUGCUGUUUUAUCAACCAACUCCACACACGUGCUGUUUACAGCAAAACAAUCUUUUUUUUUUUCUUGUAGGAGAAUUUGCUUCUAACUGUGGCAGUGACGUUGUGUAUUGUCCCCAGGAACGCUUGCGGUGUGCACAUUUGUCUAAUUUGUUUCACUGUGCUGCUGCUGUCUUUACAGCUUCUGCUUAUUUCUUCUGGCCGCACCUUAUAUUUGUUGUCUUUGUCAACAUCUGACCUGUUUCUGCCUUGUUGAAAGCAAGUGGCCACAAGUACUGCUUAUUUUGCUCAGUCUAAACCUGGUAGUGCAUCCAGUUUAGUGCCGUGCACAUGUGUGGGGCAUUUCCUUGUUCUUAUUCUGCUGAUGUGUCGUGUUGUACAUAGGAGGAAAGCCGGUCCUCCACAAUAUGAUUGUCAGUGCUGCUGAAUACAACACAGUCUUGCUGCCUUGACACGCCACAUCAUUUGACAUCUGGGGGUUGCCACCAGCCAACAGCUGAUAACCUGGUAUAUUCAGGUGACACACUACAAGGAGCCAAGGAGCACCUGAGGGCCCAGAGGAAACUCAAGGUAUCCAGGGAGCAUCCGAGAGCCUAG